UUUUUUUUUCUUUUGGGGUCUGUUCGUUUGUUUUUUCUUGAAGAUGUCAUAGUGCCAAUUCCUUCACCUUUGUGGUGGAGGUAUGGUCACAAUUUUAGGCCACACCUUUUCUCUCUGGGCGUUUUGCCAUUUGCUCCUUCAUAAAUCCAUUUCCUCCAUUCUGACUUCCUCCCCUCUCCCCCGCUGCAACCCUCCCGUCAUCCUUCCAGAGCUUCAAAAGACUCUGGAAUCUGCCCUUGACCAGGUGGGUUCGAAAGGUAGCUCCUGAGUCGUGCCAAAUGACAGCCUUUGUUUGACUUAUUUUUGGCUUACAAAACCUGGAGCUCCUCUCGAGCAAAGUGUUUGUGCUCGCCUUUUUACCCAAUGUUUUAGCCAUUCAGAAUGUCAAUAAUUUAAGACAACGCUGGGGCCCGGGAGUAUCUGUUUAUGUAUGUGCACACACAUGGCAGUGUGCUGGAAUGAACCGUGUUUUUCCUUAUCAGGUAUAACCAGGGCGCCACGAGGGAACAGCUGUCCAGCCUGCCUGACUCACCAGUGUUGCAAUCUGGGAAGUGUAUUUGGGGCCUGUUUAUCUCUCCCCAGGGCAGGACCAAGCUUGACCAAUGGAGCCUUCGAUCUCAGGAGCAGCUUCUCGAAGGCAAGCAAACAAGUUUGGAGAGAAUAUGCUGCUUUGAGCCAGACACUAAGAGGGAGCAAGAGAAAAGCUAUCAUUUGAUGGACUGAGUAGAAGACCACAGCCCCAGAGCUGCUCUAUCUCCAAAGGUACCUGUUAACACAAGAGCUCUAAAACCAAAAAUGUAAACUCUCUGAAGACAAGGAUUUUGUCUGUUGCAUUUACGGCUCUACAGCCAAUGCCUAGAAGAGCAUGUGGGACACAGUCAAUGCUCAAAUGCUGAAUGAAUACAAGGAAAAAAGGAAGACUCGCCGAAAAGGCAACAAAAUAUUGACAGCGUAAAGCGGUCCCUUGGAAGCUCACAAAGGCCUCCGACCUGGCUGUUCCAGCUUCCUGGAAUGCUCUUCUCAUACAUCCUAAAGGGCAACUCCCUCCUUUCUGCAAUGAGGUCUUUAUUCAGCCGUCCUGUCCUUAAAGAGGCCCUUCCUUCACCACUCCGUGUUAAAAGGUAUACCCCUUACUUUUCUCUUGUUACCUUGCUUUAGUUUUUUGGUAAUAUUUUUAGAUUUUAAUUUUGGAAAUGUUCGAAUAUGCUGAAAAAAAAUGGAGGCAAUAAUACAACGAUCACCCAAAUACCCACCACCCAGAUGUAACAACUGUUAACAUUUUGCCAUAUUUGCUUUAUCUGCUUGAAGGUGUGUGCGUGUGCGUGUGUGUGUGUGUGUGUGUGAAAUGUCUUUUUUUAUUUUUAUUUUUUUCGCUAAACCUUUUGAAAAUAACCUUCAGACACUAUGACACUUCAGCCCUGUAUACUUCAGCAUAUAUACCCUAUAAAUAAGGACAUUUUCCUUUAUAACCAUAUUAUUAUUCUACCUAAGAAAAUGAGCAAUGAUUCCCUAAUUGCCAUCUAAUUUUCAGUCCAUAAUCAGAUUUUUAAAAAUAAAUCUCUUUUUUGGGGGCACCUGGGUGGCUCAGUUGGUGAAGUAUCUGACUCUUGGUUUCA